rnacentral:siRNA from 1 species
ACCAGGAGUAGUCAGACCGCCUG